GCCUUCGAAGUGUAGUGGUCAUCACGCUUGACGCGUAACCGAGAGGUCCAUGGUUCGACUCCCGGCGAAAGCG
rfam:Stegodyphus mimosarum contig103480, whole genome shotgun sequence.